rnacentral:rRNA from 1 species
GACGAACGCUGGCGGCGCGCUUAACACAUGCAAGUCGAACGGAAAGGCCUGCUUUCCCUUGUGGAUUGCGGGUACUCGAGUGGCGAACGGGUGAGUAACACGUGAGUGAUCUGCCCCCAACUUGGGUAUAAGCCUGGGAAACUGGGUCUAAUUCCCGAUAGGACUGCAGGGUGGUGCCUGUGGUGGAAAACGAUUUUCUAGUGGUUGGGGAUGAGCUCGCGGCCUAUCAGCCUGUUGGUGGGGUAAUGGCCUACCAAGGCGGCGACGGGUAGCCGGCCUGAGAGGGUGGACGGCCACAUUGGGACUGAGAUACGGCCCAGACUCCUACGGGAGGCAGCAGUGGGGAAUAUUGCACAAUGGGCGGAAGCCUGAUGCAGCGACGCCGCGUGGGGGAUGACGGCCUUCGGGUGGUAAACUCCUUUCGACCGCGAGGAAGCCACCUGGUUGGAAGGGUGGUGACGGUAGUGGUAGAAGAAGCACCGGCUAACUACGUG